UGGGGAAUAUUGGACAAUGGGCGCAAGCCUGAUCCAGCAAUUCCGCGUGGGUGAAGAAGGUCUUCGGAUUGUAAAGCCCUUUCGUUGGGGACGAUGAUGACGGUACCCAAAGAAGAAGCCCCGGCUAACUUCGUGCCAGCAGCCGCGGUAAUACGAAGGGGGCUAGCGUUGCUCGGAAUGACUGGGCGUAAAGGGCGCGUAGGCGGCACAACUAGUCAGGCGUGAAAUUCCUGGGCUUAACCUGGGGGCUGCGUUUGAUACGGUUGGGCUAGAGGAUGGAAGAGGCUCGUGGAAUUCCCAGUGUAGAGGUGAAAUUCGUAGAUAUUGGGAAGAACACCGGUGGCGAAGGCGGCGAGCUGGUCCAUUACUGACGCUGAGGCGCGAAAGCGUGGGGAGCAAACAGG
rnacentral:rRNA from 2 species